rnacentral:rRNA from 1 species
GACGAACGCUGGCGGCGUGCUUAACACAUGCAAGUCGAACGGAAAGGCCUCUUUCGGGGGGUACUCGAGUGGCGAACGGGUGAGUAACACGUGAGUAACCUGCCCUUGACUUUGGGAUAACUUCAGGAAACUGGGGCUAAUACCGGAUAGGAGCUCCUGCUGCAUGGUGGGGGUUGGAAAGUUUCGGCGGUUGGGGAUGGACUCGCGGCUUAUCAGCUUGUUGGUGGGGUAGUGGCUUACCAAGGCUUUGACGGGUAGCCGGCCUGAGAGGGUGACCGGCCACAUUGGGACUGAGAUACGGCUCAGACUCCUACGGGAGGCAGCAGUGGGGAAUAUUGCACAAUGGGUGGAAGCCUGAUGCAGCAACGCCGUGUGCGGGAUGACGGCCUUCGGGUUGUAAACCGCUUUCGCUCAUGACGAAGCUUUGUGUGACGGUAGUGGGUAAAGAAGCACCGGCUAACUACGUG